UGGGGAAUAUUGCACAAUGGGCGCAAGCCUGAUGCAGCAACGCCGCGUGAGGGAUGACGGCCUUCGGGUUGUAAACCUCUUUCAGCAGGGAAGAAGCGAAAGUGACGGUACCUGCAGAAGAAGCGCCGGCUAACUACGUGCCAGCAGCCGCGGUAAUACGUAGGGCGCAAGCGUUGUCCGGAAUUAUUGGGCGUAAAGAGCUCGUAGGCGGUUAGUCGCGUCUGCUGUGAAAACUCGAGGCUCAACCUCGGGCUUGCAGUGGGUACGGGCUGACUAGAGUGCGGUGGGGGUGACUGGAAUUCCUGGUGUAGCGGUGGAAUGCGCAGAUAUCAGGAGGAACACCGAUGGCGAAGGCAGGUCACUGGGCCGCAACUGACGCUGAGGAGCGAAAGCAUGGGGAGCGAACAGGAUUAGAUACCCUGGUAGUCCAUGCCGUAAACGUUGGGCACUAGGUGUGGGGUCCAUUCCACGGAUUCCGUGCCGCAGCAAA
rnacentral:rRNA from 1 species